rnacentral:rRNA from 1 species
UACAGAGAGUGCAAGCGUUAAUCGGAAUUACUGGGCGUAAAGCGCGCGUAGGUGGAUAUUUAAGUCAAGUGUGAAAGCCCUGGGCUCAACCCGGGAAUUGCGUUUGAUACUGGGUAUCUAGAGUAUAGUAGAGGGAAGUGGAAUUUCCGGUGUAGUGGUGAAAUACGUAGAUAUCGGAAGGAACACCAGUGGCGAAGGCGGCUUCCUGGACUAAUACUGACACUGAGGUGCGAAAGCGUGGGGAGCAAACAGG